rnacentral:lncRNA from 1 species
GCCAUUGUACAGACAGAUAUUAAUACGGAGAAGCAGUAGAGGAAGUUAUGGAAAAGGUUGAAGAAGAUUCAGAGGAGAAUUGAGCAAACUAUUUUUAAGGUAAACUUGUGAGGUAAUGUGUUUUGGUUUAUAUAAAAGAGAUAGCUAAGUUCUCUAUUAAACAGCUUGUACACUAAACUGAGGGGUGUAUUUCCGGGGGUGGAUUUUGGUUGUUUUUGCGGUACACGCGAACCCAUGGUCUUUUCGUCAAAUCGAGUAUUUUAUGUAUAUAUUUUGUAAAAUUAAUCUAAUAUUAUCGGUUGGGCCUCAUGCUCCAAAAAGGUUGAAUGAUGCACCUGCUUGAAUGCUUUAUCCAAAGGAACAUGGAUCGAUUCCCACUUAGUGCUUUUUCCCCUCAUUUUUCAAUGGUGCACCCAUAUUUUAGAAAUCUUAGGUCGCCUCUGUGUAUUUCUACAAUCUAGGAGCUACUAAAUGGAUAUUCAUAUUGAGGCUGGUAGCACAUGGGAGAAUACUUACCGGAGACAGAUUGCUGCAAUGGGAAAUGGACGUACCAUAGUCUUGCCCUUUCUGCAAUAAUAAGAUUGAGAGUAGAUCACGUUUAUUUUUCCAAUGUGACUCUACUGCUUAGAUCUAGAAUAAGAUCUUGUUCAAACAAGAAGUUAAUAGGAGAACCAUAGAUUGGCUAGAGCAAUUAAAGUAGGCUGAAGAUCAUGCAAAGAGGAGAAGCUCUAAAGCAGAAGCUUAUAGGAUUGCACGUGCAAGAUUGAGAGUAUAUCGCACCUAUUUUGUAUGUCGUUUGUAUGUAUUGUGGAUGUUAUUUGUAUCUUCAAUGUAUUAUUGGACAUACAAUAACAUACACAC